UCCCUGGUGGCUCAGAUGGUAAAGCAUCUGCCUGCAAUACGGGAGACCCAGGUUUGAUCCCUGGGUUGGGAA
rfam:Ovis aries breed Texel chromosome 9, whole genome shotgun sequence.